rnacentral:miRNA from 1 species
CACUUCAAACAGGAGCAUUGA